UGAGUAACCUGCCCUUAACUCUGGGAUAAGCCUGGGAAACUGGGUCUAAUACCGGAUAUGACUCCUCAUCGCAUGGUGGGGGGUGGAAAGCUUUAUUGUGGUUUUGGAUGGACUCGCGGCUUAUCAGCUUGUUGGUGAGGUAAUGGCUUACCAAGGCGACGACGGGUAGCCGGCCUGAGAGGGUGACCGGCCACACUGGGACUGAGACACGGCCCAGACCUCCGUACGGGAGGCAG
rnacentral:rRNA from 1 species